rnacentral:misc_RNA from 1 species
AAGUCGUAACAAGGUUUCCGUAGGUGAAACUGCGGAAGGAUCAUUAGAGAAUUGUACCAAAACAAUAUGGACAAUCCACCCAUAUUAUCCCACCUUGUGUGCAUCCAUUGAAACCAUGCUUUGGGAGGUCCCUCUUAAAAAAAUGGAGAGGGAUUUUUAAGCCUUCCAAGGUUUUCCUUGUACACGUUCUUCUUGUUUCUCCUGAAAAUGAAACAAAAAAAUACAACUUUCAACAACGGAUCUCUUGGGCUCUC